rnacentral:lncRNA from 1 species
GAAAAACCCACAACAACCAUCUGUCCAGUUUGAAUUUGCCAAUAUUGUGAAGUACCUUAAUAAGCAAGCCACUUCAGAAUAGUGGCAGCUGAGGAUUCAACUGUGGGCAAUUUCUCAACCAUUCCUUUAAAAUUAUAAGUGCAUUUACUCUGGGAGAAGGGGGUGCAUGCAAUGUCCUACAUCCAAUAUAGAACAUCUGCUGAUGAAUCUCCUCUGCCCAAAGCAGCCCCCCCCCCCAAUGCAUCCUGGAAACUACUCUGGGAAAUCCUCUGCUCUUUCUGCCCAAUGCCUCCCCUAAUCAAACAACCUCUUGCAAAGGCAAUCAGCUAAAGAUGCUUUGGUUCUCCCAAAGAGCCGAACUGAAACAAAAUUAGAAUGGGUGCUUGUUAUACUUCAGUGAAGCAUUUUCCCAAUCCAGGGACUCCUCCCUUUGGUACACAGAAACACACACACACUCCAAAUGGGGAGGGCUACUUUUACUGUUCCACAUUUGGCAGAAUCUUCAGCGGCUGCUGUUUAUAAAGGUCCAAGCAGCCAGUAAAGGGAGACGACACAACUUGAUUUGUACCUUACUUACAGCUGUCUUCUGAAGCAUUUCCUGCAUAAAGUCCAGAUUAUUGCCGCUGAUCAAGAACUUGGAGGCUGCUGAUCAACAAGCUGUUGUUGGCUUCUGACAGAGAGGAGCAAAAGCAACCCACAAAAGGAAAUGAAUGCUUCUAGGAGGAUACAUUGCCUUCGUGCUCAUAGACCCAAGCCUCCUGCAAGUAUCGGAGAGAACGUUCAGAAUUCAUGCGGGUGCCAACCGUGGUGUGGGAAUGAGAGGACAACUGUACAGACACUCUAUAUGCUGAUUGUUGUGAUCCUCCUGAUUGCAAUUUGGGGAGUGUGGGCAAGGAAAGAUUCCUGAGCAUGCUUCACAUCAGCUACUCCUGGAGGUCCUCUGCAGACAGAAAGGACCAAAACUUCAAAACUGAUAUACCCUGGGGCUCUUCUUGAAAUGAAAUUGAGAUUACAGUUAUGGAUGGAUUCACAGCUCUUGUUUUGAGCAAUGCAUGGGAUGAAAGAAAGAAGGAAAGAAAGAAGGAAAGAAAGAAACUAUUUUUGUACAGCUGUGUGUAAUGAUAAUAAUGUUAUAAUGCGCCACUUUAAAAGUACAUGUAAAGUAUUUAAUUAUACAUAUAAUAAAUGUACAUAUGAUUAAAAGAUUUUGUCA